rnacentral:rRNA from 1 species
AUGUACCCGGUGGGGACGGCCCCGCGGCCGGGGUCGCGGCUGCCGGCGGCGUCGCGGGUGGACAAGGCCACCAGCCAUCUGCUGCAGGGGCCCGACUGGGCCGUCAACCUCGAAAUAUGCGACACCCUCAACGCCGACCGAUGGCAAACAAAAGAUGCGGUAAAAGCAGUAAAGAAGCGGCUGCAGAAUAAGGACCCGAAAGUUCAGUUUUUCACUUUGACGCUCUUGGAGACAAUGAUGAAGAACUGUGGUGAAUAUGUUCAUUCUGAAGUUGCUGAGCUGCAUGUUUUACAAGAAAUGGUUAAAAUUGUUCAGAAGAAGCACGAUAUGCAAGUGAAGGAUAAGAUAUUGAUACUGCUGGACUCAUGGCAAGAAGCAUUUGGUGGACCUGGGGGCAAAUAUCCACAGUAUUAUUGGUCAUACAUUGAACUAAAGAGGUCAGGAGUAAUGUUCCCACGCCGUCCUAUGGAUGCCCCUCCAAUAUUUACUCCUCCUGUGACGCAUCAGUCUCAGCCAUAUGGUUCACCUGCAUAUCCCACUGGAAGUCUAAAUGACAGAAUGGCAUCUGAUGUUGAAACGCUGAGUUCAGGGGAUCUGGAUAAUAUUAGAGAUGCAACAGAAUUACUGAGUGAUAUGGUGAAUGCUUUGAAUCCUGCUGAUCGCAUGGCUGUUAAAGAUGAAAUUGUUACUGAGCUUGUCAGCCAAAGUCGUUCAAAUCAACAAAAGCUCAUGGGAUUUGUCAGUUCAACAGGGAAUGAGGAGCUACUGAAACAAGGCCUAGAAAUAAAUGACCGCUUACAAAGUGUACUUGCAAAACACGAUGCCAUCGCUUCUGGUUCUCCUUUACCUGUUGAAAUGCCAAGGAGAGAUGAGAUACCCAGAGAGGAUCCAACACCACAGCCAUCUGCACCUCCGGUUGCACAAAAUGAGACCCCCGUUGAAGAGGAUGAAGAGGAUGAGUUUGCUCAGCUAGCAAAAAGAAAGAACAAAUCUGUGGUAAGCAGCGAUGAGGCAUCAUCAAGUGUUGGUGAUCAUGCCCUUAUACCUAUUGACGAUGCAACUUCUGAAGCAUCAUCUUCUGUUGCGAGCAAUGCCCUAGUUCCUGUUGAGUCAGCUUCUGUCAGUGGUACUCGGACAAAAGAGCAGGAUAUGAUCGACCUUCUAAGCCUUACCUUGUACAGUCCUCCUGAAGCAUCUACAGAUUCUUCAACUCAGAGCCAAAAUGACAGUCAGCAGACCGCCGUGUCAAAUGGGUCACAAUUACCGCCGAACUAUGAGCCUGCAACAUCGAAUGGACAACAUUACCCUUCCAACCACCAGGCAUAUCCAAUAAAUCAGGGGUACACUCCAUACAACAAUUAUGUUGCGCCCUGGGCCCAAAGUGAACAGAGUGCACAGACUGGAGCAUAUCCAGUUCAGCCUCCACAAUAUACAUCAACCUAUCCGGCACAGCCACAAUAUACAUCAACCUAUCCGGCACCGCCAUGGGCCAUGCCUACAAGUGCCAACUCUGUAAAUCCUUUUCAGCCUGCCACAUACCAAACGCCGAAUCCUCCUGUUGCUUCUGUUGCCUCAACACCUUACCCGGCUCCUUCAACACCUUAUGCUUCUCCACUGAUGCAACAUGUGCCAUCUCCAACCCCAAGUCCCAGUCCUAUGCAACAGCAAAGCUCUUUUGUUUCUCAUGCAAACAACGCCCUUGCCAUUGUUCCAGAUGCUCGAACGAAUGGAAACCAAAGACCAAAAGAAGCACCAGCGACAGCACCCAAACCCUACUACAUGCCAGACAAUCUGUUUGGUGAUUUGAUCGAUGUGAAGAGUUUCGGCGCAGCAGGCAAGACAAGCAGAUCGACAAAUGUGCCUAGUCCAAAGGGUGGUGGUCAACCUAUGAUCGGUGGAAAGAAAUAG